rnacentral:misc_RNA from 1 species
GAUGAAGAACGCAGCGAAAUGCGAUAAGUAAUGUGAAUUGCAGAAUUCAGUGAAUCAUCGAAUCUUUGAACGCACAUUGCGCCCCUUGGUAUUCCGAGGGGCAUGCCUGUUCGAGCGUCAUUAUAACCCCUCAAGCUCAGCUUGGUGUUGGGGCCUGCUGCACUGGCAGACCUUAAAAUCAGUGGCGGCGCCAUCUGGCUCUAAGCGUAGUAAUUCUUCUCGCUAUGGAGUCCUGGUGGAUGCUUGCCAUCAACCCCCAAUUUUUCUAUGGUUGACCUCGGAUCAGGUAGGGAUACCCGCUGAACUUAAGCAUAUCAAUAAGCGGAGGA